GCACUGCUGAGGAGUCCCACAAUGGGACGAAACGGCUGUUCAGUGC
rfam:Schistosoma rodhaini strain Burundi genome assembly, scaffold: SROB_scaffold0008483